CACAGAUUUUGUACAAUGCAUUUGAAGUAUUUUUUAAGGUUAGUUGUCCACAAACUUCAGGCAAUUCGAAAUAGAUUUAUGCAUUUUGAACAUAAAAAAUAUCAAAAACAGAGGUUCAAUGUACAACCGGUUGUUAUUCAAACUAGGAUUUUCACGAUUGGGUCGUAUCGUUUUUUAUUCAUUUAUUUGUUUACAGGAAAUAAAAUUAUCAAAAACAAAAUAAAACGUAUAUAUUUGUCCUAUGAAUGUUAGACCUACUUGAAGUUGUUGUGACAAUUCAACCACAGAUAGUAUCGAUAUUUACAAGGAUGUAAACUAAUCAAAGGAUGAGAGUUUAAGCUUCCUUUUGCCGGAUAUUUGUUUUUUUGCGACUUUAAUAUUCAUUUGAAGUGUGAAAGGACCAGUUUAGUUAAAAAAUGUCCAACAUGACGACCCUUUUCGCUGCGAAUUCUACAACAACUUCUAUUGGAGGGGUUAAAACAUUAGUUGAUGGUUAUGAUAUACCCGUGUAUGGAAUAAAAGAGGGAAAAUUUUAUAACAUUCACGUGCCAGCGCUGAUAUGUAUUUGCCUUAGUUUUAUAUGCGCAUUAACAAUUAUAGGAUAUUCUUUCUAUCAUCAACAUUUUUCAACUUUUUUCCAGUGGACAAAAAGCGAGAGAUUUGUAGUAUACAUGGCACUAUGUGACGCCCUUUUUAACGCUGCGCAUUUUACCGACCAUAUGCACAUUGCUGUUACAAAAACACUACCACGACCAAAAUCGCUUUGUGCAUUUUAUGGAUUUAUGCUGGCUGAGUUCAUAACAGCACAAAAUUUGAUGGUGAAUAUUGUCGCCAUUAAUGUAUUCAUUUUAGUAUUCUACCGUAAGCACUUAAAUUUCGGAAAAUGCGACUACCGACUCUUGCUCUACAUAUUCGGCGCUCCAGCUUUAGGUGGACUCAUCGCAGGUUCCCUUGGACAACUUGGACCUAAUGGAUCAUUGUAUGUAUUUUCUUCAUAUUACCAUAUCAGUCACGCAUAUGCUUUUGUUGUGUUUGAAUCGCUUUUAUGAAGAAAAAAAAAACAUAGAAAAAUAUUUGAUUCUGUUUUAAUAUGAAUAACGUUAAAUUUGAAAUUAUACCACAAUUUCAUUCUUUUAAGAACAUGAUUAAUAUCAAUGAAUUACAUUUAUACGUUUUCAUUCGAUGAACAGAAAAUGUGAUACCAAAACUGGUUAAUUGUUGUACGCAAAACAAUAAAAUGGUUGAUUCGAGUAUUUUGCGAUCAUAUAAAAAGGGUUCUGUUUGUAAUGUAUACUGAUACCAAUUUAUUAAUUUAUCUGUUGGCAAACACUUAUCAGGAAUGUUUCUGUUCGCAUUCCGUAGAUUGGCCUACACUAUUUUAUGAGUUCGUUUGUUAAAAUAUAUAUUGAAAAUUUAUUUUGAAAGUUGUUUUUUUCUUUUCAGCUGUUAUUUUGAUGGAAUUAAAGGAAAAUGGACGGGUGUUUUCUUCACAACAGUACCUCUUUUGCUGGUUGUUGUCAUAAACACGAUUCUUUACAUUUUAAGUUGGUUAAGGAUCUACAAAGAAGCCAAAGAAAUUAAAGAUUCACUCGGAAAGUCCUCUAGAGUUUUAAGAGCUUCACAUAAAGCUGCAAAAACAAUGUCAUUAUUUGUCGCAGCAUUCUUCGUUCAAUGGUGGGCAAUGGCGUUAUAUGGUAUUUGGCAGUUGGUUGCUGAUGUUCCAUUUCUUUUAUUCAAUUUUGUGACAACAUUUUCCAACGUAGGUGGUAUUUUGAAUGGAAUAGUGUUUAUCAUCAUAAUGCGCAGAAAACGCGAGAAGGCAGAUUCAAGUACUAAAGCCUCCGACGACAAGGUGGGAUCUGGUCAUACCGCAUCUACACCUAUCCACUCAACCGUACAUUCGAACAGUCAUUUUGCAAAUGUUGUUUAAAUAAUUAACGACACGGAAU
rnacentral:lncRNA from 1 species